rnacentral:rRNA from 1 species
UCAGGACGAACGCUGGCGGCGUGCCUAAGACAUGCAAGUCGAGCGAAGUGCGGCUUCGGUUGCACUUAGCGGCGGACGGGUGAGUAACGCGUGGGCAACCUGCCCCUCAGCCUGGGAUAACUGUCGGAAACGAUGGCUAAUACCGGAUGCGGUAUAUGGAUCGCAUGGUCUAUAUACGAAAGUUCAGGCGCUGAGGGAUGGGCCCGCGUCCCAUUAGCUAGUUGGUGAGGUAAUGGCUCACCAAGGCGACGAUGGGUAGCCGGCCUGAGAGGGUGACCGGCCACACUGGGACUGAGACACGGCCCAGACUCCUACGGGAGGCAGCAGCCGGGGAUCUUCCACAAUGGGCGAAAGCCUGAUGGAGCGACGCCGCGUGAGGGACGAAGGUCUUCGGAUCGUAAACCUCUGUCUUCCGGGACGAUAAUGACGGUACCGGAGGAGGAAGCCACGGCUAACUACGUGCCAGCAGCCGCGGUAAUACGUAGGUGGCGAGCGUUGUCCGGAAUUACUGGGCGUAAAGGGUGCGUAGGCGGUGCCUUAAGUCUCGUGUGAAAAGUGUCGGCUCAACCGAUACACGCCACGGGAAACUGGGGCGCUUGAGUGCCGGAGAGGGUCGCG